UCUACCUCCUCCGUCCAAGAAGCACGCCGCCAAGCAAAUCUCUUCUCUCCGUGACCACAACGUUGCCGCCGCCGCCACGUCUGAUUCUGGCUUGCUCCGGCGCUUGUUGCGCCACCGCUCACAGAAACGGCUACUCCUCACUGCCCUCCCCCUGAUCCCCCGCCAUGGCGACUUCCUCCGCGCCCCUACAUGCGGGCCACAGCAACCCUAGUUACCACAGGUCGCCAGCGCCCGCGCCUCAUCCGGUUUGUCGCCCUACUGCCCCGCGCUACGUCUCCGCACGCGCCGCUCCAAGCUCGGCCAUGGUGGUGCUGAUCCGCCUCAGCAAUCUUGACUCCGACGCCGCUGACGGUUCAGCAAGACUCUCCUCCUCUGACCCGCUCUUCUCUUACACUAUUUGGUUCUUUCUGUGGCAGGUCAUGGCGAAUUCUUUGCCGCCCAAUCUGACGACAAUCGACGCUACCUUGAUUACUCAUCCUGAUCCACAGCCCAGCAACGACAUCAAUGUCACUGCACUUCGUAAAUCAGAGGAUGCCUAACAUGACAGUAAUGAUCUGCGUGGGGUGUUAAGCGGAGAGACGAGAUGGCUAUAUCUUUCAGAAUAUCUUCACUGGUGGCAUGUUCGUCUGCUGGAAGUAAUUCGCCUAGAGGGGAAAGGGCGUCUGUUGUGCCGGAGUUACAGGUGUUGGCCUCUAGCUUGCUGUCAAAGACAUGCUCUUGCAGAGAACCAGAGCAAUGCUUUAAUUCUUGCCAACGCAUCAAUGCAAUGCAAGUGGCGCACUGCCAGUCAGUCCAGUACUGAACAAUGGGCAGGGUGGUGGUCGUUCAUGCUAUAACAAUGUCAUAGAAGGCAUCCUCAGGAAGUUCAUAGAGAAGCUUGUCAUCCAGCAUGAAGGGUGAUGAAGACGAAGAUGAUGCCUGGCUAAGUUGUUGAUAGGAAAGGUGUAGAAUGGGGCUAAUACAAGAUAGUUUUACAUUUACCUUAUACAAUGUCAUUUUCAUGCUUAAUAUGUAGGAGAUCAUGUACUAUCUUUUUCAGAUUGUGUUCCAUGUAAUGCAACCGAGUUGAUUAAAUAUAUGAAAUCUUUCUGUUUA